GGCAACUAUAGCUUAUUUCUGUGUAUUAGCAGGUUUAUUUUCAGAGUUAUAGAAGUCCUCAUGUAAAAGCUCUCAAGUUAUUAUAAUUUCAGGGAUGAAUAUUAAAGUACAUAAGAAAACGUCUCAGAUAUUAUAGGCUUUGAUUGCAGUGUGAAUGGCUGACUUGAAACUGACGUCAACUACUUCUUGGGGAAGACAGCUCAACACAAAAAGGAUGUUUGAGCAGGUAGAGCAUGGUUAAAUAAUGAGCUAUUCCCAGGUGGCACAUCAGCAAGGGUUGCACACUCAAGGUGAGUUUGAUGCUGAUUUCCAUUAUAUUCCACAGACCUCAACACAGGUGGCCGUUCUUCCUCUUCCUAAGUCAGGACAUUUGUUC
rnacentral:lncRNA from 1 species